AUCACCAACUGUGGAGUCCA
rnacentral:snRNA from 1 species